UUAAAUAUUCUUAUAUUGCUAAUAUGAAAAUCAUCACUUUUAUGUUUUCUUUACUACUAAAUAGGUAAUUUUCUGGUAUUAUAUAUGCAAAGAAUUUGCUAGUCUUUUUUUAACACAUAAAAUAAUUUGCUAGUCAAAUUAUAAAUCAUUAUAGCUAAUCAUUAAAACAGAGAGAAAAUGUUAAUAUUUUUAGAAAUCUUCCAAAUC
rnacentral:lncRNA from 1 species